rnacentral:rRNA from 1 species
UGGGGAAUUUUGGACAAUGGGCGAAAGCCUGAUCCAGCAAUGCCGCGUGUGUGAAGAAGGCCUUCGGGUUGUAAAGCACUUUUGUCCGGAAAGAAAUCCUUGGCUCUAAUACAGUCGGGGGAUGACGGUACCGGAAGAAUAAGCACCGGCUAACUACGUGCCAGCAGCCGCGGUAAUACGUAGGGUGCAAGCGUUAAUCGGAAUUACUGGGCGUAAAGCGUGCGCAGGCGGUUUGCUAAGACCGAUGUGAAAUCCCCGGGCUCAACCUGGGAACUGCAUUGGUGACUGGCAGGCUAGAGUAUGGCAGAGGGGGGUAGAAUUCCACGUGUAGCAGUGAAAUGCGUAGAGAUGUGGAGGAAUACCGAUGGCGAAGGCAGCCCCCUGGGCCAAAUACUGACGCUCAUGCACGAAAGCGUGGGGAGCAAACAGGAUUAGAUACCCUGGUAGUCCACGCCCUAAACGAUGUCAACUAGUUGUUGGGGAUUCAUUUCCUUAGUAACGUAGCUAACGCGUGAAGUUGACCGCCUGGGGAGUACGGUCGCAAGAUUAAAACUUAAAUGAAUUGACGGGG